rnacentral:tRNA from 1 species
GACGCUGAUGCCGAAUGGAUGGCAGGCGCCCGCAAGGCGCCUCGUGGAGGUUCGAGUCCUCCCGGCGUCU